rnacentral:lncRNA from 1 species
CGCUGCCUUCCUCCACUGCUCGGUUUGAACCCUGAGCUUCUUCAUCUCAGCCUCUAAAGCAUCUUUUGCUUCUUCCAUGGACUCAAGCUUCUCCUUCAGGUGAGCCGUCUUUGCUCUGCUUUCUUCUAACUCUUCCCCAAUCCUACUCACCUUUGAAACCAUCUCAUCUUCAUUAGCUUUCACAUUAGAAAUCUCUGAAGCUGAAUCGCUCAACUGAUUCUUCAAGCUCUCGUUUUCUUUGCCUAGUGAUUCAUGCUCUUUCUCCAUGUCAUAGAGUCUAGCUUUCAGCAUCUUUAUCUCAUCUUCCUUUGCAACCAAUUUCUCAGCUUCGUCAUUGCCGCUUCUCAGUUCUUCUUCUUCUACUGCAAUCUUUUCAACGGGAACCUCAAACACAUCAGUCUCUUUCUGCACAUCACCAGGGAUUUC